UAACCCUUUGUUGUCCGACUCUGUUGCCUCCGGGGCGACCCUGCCUUCGGGCGGGGGCUCCGGGUGGACACUUCAAACUCUUGCGUAACUUUGCAGUCUGAGUAAACUUAAUUAAUAAAUUAAAACUUUUAACAACGGAUCUCUUGGUUCUGGCAUCGAUGAAGAACGCAGCGAAAUGCGAUAAGUAAUGUGAAUUGCAGAAUUCAGUGAAUCAUCGAAUCUUUGAACGCACAUUGCGCCCCCUGGUAUUCCGGGGGGCAUGCCUGUUCGAGCGUCAUUUCACCACUCAAGCCUCGCUUGGUAUUGGGCAUCGCGGUCCGCCGCGUGCCUCAAAUCGACCGGCUGGGUCUUCUGUCCCCUAAGCGUUGUGGAAACUAUUCGCUAAAGGGUGUUCGGGAGGCUACGCCGUAAAACAACCCCAUUUCUAAGGUUGACCUCGGAUCAGGUAGGGAUACCCGCUGAACUUAAGCAUAUCAAU
rnacentral:rRNA from 1 species